rnacentral:rRNA from 1 species
AUGGCGGGAAGAGGUGAUGGUAAGGCGCCGGCCGGCGGCGCGUCAGGAAGUGGAGAUGGUCGUGAUCAGCCAGGACCGGAGGCAAAUCUGGAGGAUAGGUUCUCGGGGCUGGACCUCCAUGGGGAGGAGGAGGAUGAGCUGGAUCUGUCUAGAGAGAUUGAAGGACCGAUAGAAGAAACACGCCGGCUUGCUAUUUUUAGGGUUCAUACUUUCAAACCCUUCAGCCACGUCGCCUUGUACAAGGCGAUGAGAAACACUUGCUCAGCGGCGCAAGGAGUGAUCUUCAAGGCCAUGAAACCAAAUAUCUUCCUGGCCUAA